AUGACGAUGGGGCCAGUACGUGCAGCUGCAGAAGGGCGAGGCCCUGGGGUGGCAGAGAGCUACUCCGGGCGGCGGUCUGCACACUUCGUGAAUGUCACGGGCACUGGGCUGGCCUCCACCAAGGCCCCAUCGGUUUUCCCACUGGACCCCCGCUGCAGGACCACAUGUAGCUCCACAGUGGCCCUGGCCUGCCUGGUGUCUAGCUACUUCCCCGAGCGGGUGACAGUGACCUGGAACUCCGGCGCCCUGACCAGCGGGGUGCACACCUUCCCAUCCGUCCUACAGGCCUCCGGGCUCUACUCUCUCAGCAGCAUGGUGACGGUGCCCUCCAGCAAAUGGUACAGUGAAAGCAAGACCUUCACCUGCAAUGUGGCCCACCUGCCCAGCAACACCAAGCCCACCUCCAGAGCUGCUCCCCCUCAAAUCUCCACUAACCCCCAGUCUGGUCUCUCUGCAGUGGACAAAACACGGACACCGAACCCCUGCGAUGAAUGUCCCAAAUGCCCAGUGGGAGGCCCCUCUGUCUUCGUCUUCCCCCCAAAACCCAAGGACACCCUCUCUAUCUCCCGGACGCCCGAGGUCACAUGCAUGGUGGUGGACCUGAGCCAAGACGACCCCGAGGUCCAGAUCACAUGGUUCAUGGAUAACGUCGAGAUGCACACGGCCAAGACAAGGCCAAGCGAGGAGCAGUUCAACAGCACCUACCGCGUGGUCAGCGUCCUCCCCAUCCUGCACCAGGACUGGCUCAAGGGGAAGGAGUUCAAGUGCAAGGUCAACAACAAAGCCCUCCCGUCCCCCAUCGAGAGAACUAUCUCCAAGGCCAAAGGUGGGCAGCAGGGCAGAUGGGGCACAGGGAGGGCCCCCCAGGUGUACGUCUUGCCUCCACCCCCGGAGGAGCUCAGCAAGUCCAAAGUCAGCCUGACCUGCCUGGUCCAAGGCUUCUACCCAGAAGACAUUGCCAUCGAGUGGGAGGCCAACGGACAACAGGAGCCAGAGAACAACUACCGAACGACCCCAGCCAUCCUGGACCGCGACGGCACCUACUUCCUGUACAGCAGGCUCCCGGUGGACAAGUCCAGCUGGCAGAACGGAUACAGCUACACGUGCUCAGUGUCACAUGAAGCCCUGCACAGCCGCCACACACAGAAAUCCCUCUCCUACUCUCCGGAGCUGCUCCUGGACGACAGCUGUGCAGAGGACCAGUAGGGGGAGCUGGACGGGCUGUGGACCACCAUCUCCAUCUUCAUCACCCUCUUCCUGCUCAGCGCGUGCUACAGUGCCACGGUCACCCUCUUCAAGGUGAAAUGGAUCUUCUCGGUGGUGGAGCUGAAGCGCACGAUCAUCCCCGACUACAGGAACAGGAUAGGGCAGGGCGCCUAGGGCCAGCCCCCUGGGCUGGCGUCCAGCGCUGCCCCAGACCCCAGUCAGGAUCCUGUGCGUCAGCCUGCUGCCAGGCCUGCUCUUCCGCCCUCGGCCCUCGCCAGCCUCGAAACUCGCGGCCGCCCCGGGCCUGCACCUUCACCCUCCGGCCUUGCGGCCACUGUGAGCUGCAUUGUGCCCCCAGACCCCCUGUUUGGAGAGCCGAGCAGACGGCAGGUUGUGCCCCCAACCUGAGCUGGUGGACACCGGUGGGCCCCUCCACAGAAGCCACAGGGACUCAGGCAGUGGGGCCAUGUGCAUGGUCAGCAUGCACCCUCAUCCCGGAGGAGGCGGACUGCUGGCGAUCCCAGUGUCUGUCUGGCAGGGACCAGCCUCUAUGUGAACCCUGUUCCAGCCAGGCUCCAGGAUGCAGGGUCCCCUGAGCAGCCACGCCCAGAUCCUGAAGGGGCUUCACGUGUGCCACUAAUGGUCAGUCAGACCUCCGCCAGAGAAGACCACGCAGAAUAGAGCCUGGGCCUGUGGCCGCUGAAGAACCCCGUGGAUGCAGGGAACAGAGUGAUAUCCAGCCAGAGAUGCCUCCUGGAGAAGGGGCUGGUGUCCUGGUCCCCGGGCCAGUGGUACAGCCUCAGUGGACAGAGGUGGAAGGUGCCAGGAGGCCAGGCAGGCAGGCCCUGGAGCUGGGGGCCAGGCGGACCUCCAGGACUGGCUGUCCGCCCUGUCUCUGAGUGACGGCCACUCGGGGCCCUCGCAUGGGAAGAGACGGCCGUGCAGGGAGGAGAAGCAGAGCCCCACCCCCAGGGAGAGAGUGCCCGGCUCCCACGAAGGAAGGCCACUGCUACAGCUUGGGUAGCUUGUUUGAUUCUUAAAUUUCUGGAGCUCGUUAAUUUCCCUUAGCGUUUUGGGUUUUUUUAAUGACAAUAAAACAGCCUUGGAAACUCCA